AAAGUCAGCUGAGCAAG
rnacentral:misc_RNA from 1 species